rnacentral:rRNA from 1 species
UACGGAGGGGGCUAGCGUUGUUCGGAAUUACUGGGCGUAAAGGGCUCGUAGGCGGCCAACUAAGUCAGACGUGAAAUCCCUCAGCUUAACUGGGGAACUGCGUCUGAUACUGGAUGGCUUGGAUCCGGAAGAGGGAUGCGGAAUUCCUGGUGUAGCGGUGGAAUGCGCAGAUAUCAGGAGGAACACCAAUAGCGAAGGCAGCUCGCUGGGACGUUACUGACACUGAGGCGCGAAAGCGUGGGGAGCGAACAGG